AACGCGAAGAACCUUACCUGGGUUUGACAUCCUGUGAAGACGGUAGAGAUAUCGGGGACCCGCAAGGGACACAGAGACAGGUGCUGCAUGGCUGUCGUCAGCUCGUGUCGUGAGAUGUUGGGUUAAGUCCCGCAACGAGCGCAACCCUUAUCCUUAGUUGCCACCAGUAAGAUGGGAACUCUAAGGAGACCGCCGGUGAUAAACCGGAGGAAGGUGGGGAUGACGUCAAGUCCUCAUGGCCCUUAUGUCCAGGGCAACACACGUACUACAAUGGGCGAGACAAAGUGACGCGAAACCGUAAGGUGGAGCCAAUCGCAAAAACACGCUCUCAGUUCGGAUUGUGGUCUGCAACUCGACCACAUGAAGUUGGAAUCGCUAGUAUCGCGGAUCAGCAAGCCGCGGUGAAUACGUUCCCGGGCCUUGUACACACCGAUAGC
rnacentral:rRNA from 1 species